rnacentral:rRNA from 1 species
UACGAAGGGGGCUAGCGUUGUUCGGAAUCACUGGGCGUAAAGGGCGCGUAGGCGGCUUUAUAAGUCGGGGGUGAAAGCCUGUGGCUCAACCACAGAAUUGCCUUCGAUACUGUAGAGCUUGAGACCGGAAGAGGUAAGUGGAACUGCGAGUGUAGAGGUGAAAUUCGUAGAUAUUCGCAAGAACACCAGUGGCGAAGGCGGCGCUCUGGGCUGGAACUGACGCUGAGGAGCGAAAGCGUGGGGAGCGAACAGG